rnacentral:rRNA from 1 species
GAUGAACGCUGGCGGCGUGCCUAAUACAUGCAAGUCGAGCGAACGGACGAGAAGCUUGCUUCUCUGAUGUUAGCGGCGGACGGGUGAGUAACACGUGGAUAACCUACCUAUAGGACUGGGAUAACUUCGGGAAACCCGAGCUAAUACCGGAUAAUAUUUUGAACCGCAUGGUUCAAAAGUGAAAGACGGUCUUGCUGUCACUUAUAGAUGGAUCCGCGCUGCAUUAGCUAGUUGGUAAGGUAACGGCUUACCAAGGCAACGAUGCAUAGCCGACCUGAGAGGGUGAUCGGCCACACUGGAACUGAGACACGGUCCAGACUCCUACGGGAGGCAGCAGUAGGGAAUCUUCCGCAAUGGGCGAAAGCCUGACGGAGCAACGCCGCGUGAGUGAUGAAGGUCUUCGGAUCGUAAAACUCUGUUAUUAGGGAAGAACAUAUGUGUAAGUAACUGUGCACAUCUUGACGGUACCUAAUCAGAAAGCCACGGCUAACUACGUG